rnacentral:rRNA from 1 species
CCUACGGGUGGCAGCAGUGAGGAAUAUUGGUCAAUGGCCGGAAGGCUGAACCAGCCAAGCCGCGUGAAGGACGAAGGUGCCAAGCAUUGUAAACUUCUUUUGUCAAGGGACAAAAUCAGGCUCGAGAGCCUGACCGAGGGUACUUGAAGAAAAAGCAUCGGCUAACUCCGUGCCAGCAGCCGCGGUAAUACGGAGGAUGCGAGCGUUAUCCGGAUUUAUGGGGGUAAAGGGGUGCGUAGGCGGACUGUUAAGUCAGCGGUAAAAGCCCGGGGCUAAACCCCGGCGAGCCGUUGAAACUGGCUGUCUUGAGAUGUCGAGAGGUAUGCGGAAUGCGCAGUGUAGCGGUGAAAUGCUUAGAUAUUGCGCAGAACACCGAUUGCGAAGGCAGCAUACCGGCGGCGAUCUGACGCUGAGGCACGAAAGCGUGGGUAUCGAACAGGAUUAGAUACCCCAGUAGUC